UCACCCGUUGCCCUAGUCCUUCAAUUCUGCGCCAUGGUCCUUCUUCUUCUUCUUCUUCUUCUUCCUUUGGGGUUCUUUUUAUUUUUUUUAUUUUUCCCUCUACUGGAGGGAAAAGAAAAGGGUGCAAAACCCCGUUAUAUCUAUUAAUUAAAUCAAUCUUAAAUAGAAAAUAUGUAAAGCCUUUUACAUCAAUUCUUGAAAUAAAUAGUAGAAAAUUCUGAAUCGCAAGUGCUCUAUGGUGAAGUAAGCAACUGAAAUCAACAAUUUCAGGUAGCCAGAGCUGUCGUCUUCAGACCCACCGUACCCAAUACCAAAUAAUGUGCGAUGUCAAAGUAAAAAUGAAAAUCAUUCAAGUUUCGUCUUCACUGUCUGAAAGUAGGCAAUCUUGAAUUUGCUGCCUCAGCAUACUGGAAUUGUCACAGCUGCCAUGCUUCACCCGGGCAACCAUUUGUUGGGGUAAAGACAAAUAGAAAUGUUCCAUUGAUGAGGAAUCCUUGGGGAGUAUCUGAAAACGGCAACUUGAACAACAGGCACCACCAAAUCUUGAACUUUGGCAACCUUCGGGUUUGUUCGAACUCGAUAAAUCAGAAUUUCUGAGAGGACUAUUGCAAAGAGGACAGAAUGACUCCGAGGACAUAGAUUCCAUGGGCUUGAGAUUGUAUCUCUUCUGACGCCUUCGAGUAGCCAAAGGAACAGUACAAUCACUGAUUUCAGGAAUUCUAUUAAAAUGGAAUGGAGUAAGCUUUCCAGCUGUUCGUACAAUCGUACACUCUCGAGAAGGAUUUUCUUCCUGCAAAAGAGUUACAAAUGAAGACACCAAACCAUUGAUUCCAGCGGGAGGGCUAUUAGGUAACUGCAAGGUCUUUAGAC
rnacentral:misc_RNA from 1 species